UGGGGAAUAUUGCACAAUGGAGGGAACUCUGAUGCAGCGACGCCGCGUGAACGAAGAAGGCUUUCGAGUCGUAAAGUUCUUUUAUAUGGGAAGAUAAUGACGGUACCAUAAGAAAAAGCCCCGGCUAACUACGUGCCAGCAGCCGCGGUAAUACGUAGGGGGCUAGCGUUGUCCGGAAUCACUGGGCGUAAAGGGUUCGCAGGCGGAAAUGCAAGUCAGGUGUAAAAGGCAGUAGCUUAACUACUGUAAGCAUUUGAAACUGCAUAUCUUGAGAAGAGUAGAGGUAAGUGGAAUUUUUAGUGUAGCGGUGAAAUGCGUAGAUAUUAAAAAGAAUACCGGUGGCGAAGGCGACUUACUGGGCUCAUACUGACGCUGAGGAACGAAAGCGUGGGUAGCAAACAGG
rnacentral:rRNA from 1 species